rnacentral:lncRNA from 1 species
UAGGGUAUUUUUUUUCUUGGUUGAUGAAGAUGUAGAGGCAGUCAUCGAUGGUGUUCUCUGGUUUUUAAACGGAUGAAGUUACAGGGGUGGGGAGGACGAAGAAGAUGAAAAGUCAGGAGAGGGUGGUGGCUAAUUAUGGCUUGCUACGGUUUUGGUAGUGUUGUCCUUCAUUAUUGUCCUUGUCAAGAAGAAGAUGAUGAAGCAACGGGAGUCCGUUCUUGUUGUCGAAGAAGCAGCAGCCGCUCAGAGCUACUAUUCCUUGUGCAGCGGCGGUGGGGCGGGAUCAGGAGUGGCGGCUGGUCGUGGGUUUUUAGG